AAUGUAAAAGUGCAACUCGGUGAAAUGUUAGGAUAGAGAGAUCCCUGUUAGAGGGAAAAUGAAUGAUAGAAUGUUUAACCAGCUCAGAGAAGGAAAGGAAGAUUUUUUUCGUUGAAAUGAUACCUGGACUGAAUGUGUAGGAUGAGUAAGAGACAAAAUGGAGAGGGAAGAAAGAAUAUAUCCCAAGAGGCACCUGCAAGUGCAAAGGCCUUGUGGCAGACAGAGGUACGAGGAAUUCCAGUACAAUGUUGAAAAACACUGGUGAAAGGAAACAACUUUGCCUUGUCCUGAUCUUAUUGGGAAAGCUUUGAGUCUCUCAUCACUUGAAAAGACCAGCUCUCUAUUUUCUCAGAAGGCAGUGUGGAAGACAAUGCUCCUUCCUGAUGCUCACGAUGAACCUCCCUUCCUGGGCACAGGGGAAGAUCAAUCAGUUCUCUAGUUUCUGAAGCCAGUCUUGACCAUCACAGGACUCAUCUUGGACAAUACAGUGAAAGGGGAAAUGAUAUCCAAAUGUUCCUGCUCUGGUGGGUUGAGCUCUUUAGAGGACCUUCAGAAGCUUUCCAGCUGUGAUUCCAGCUUCUCUUCCUCCCACAUCAUAUCAGAUUUUGCCCCAACAAUGCACUGCCUAACAGCUUCCUGCAAGGGAUCCUUCUCCCAUGAGGAAGAAGCACUGUACAACCCUUUUGCAAUGAAAAGGGAGGAACUAAUCUGUGCUCAUCAAUGCUGCCCUCCCCCAGAUGCCACUUCCUCUCCCCUCUCAGUUUUCUUUUCAUAGGGACUGUAGUAGAAGGAGAAAGAGGUAUUGUCUGUAGAGCUGGCUCUGCUCUGGUGCUUCUCAGUAAGUCAUGAGGAAGUAAAUGGCCCAUAAUUCCUAGAAUGUAUGGAAUUUUACUCCCAGGUGCUCAGCAAUCUCAGGGCAAUAGGUAAAGCCCUACUUGACAUCACACGCACAUACAGAUAAUAAGUACCACCCUCCACGGAUAUGGCAGCAUCAGCCAUACUGACAACACCCGCCAUACAGUCACAGCCAAGUUCAACAGAAACUAGUACCCUUGCCAGUUCCAGUUUUGCUUUUGACUCACCUUUUAACAUUUGUCCCCUUCUGUUCAAAGGUUUUUUUGUUACAGUUUAGAACUGGAGGGGGCUCCUUCCUUCUUAAUUAUCUUGUCAACAGAAAGACAUUUUCUCUCCUUGACAAGCCACUUCAACCAGUCAACAAUAUUUCUCCAGAAACCAGAAAAAAAAAAAAAAAAAAAAAAGAGUAGAUCAAAGAACUCCC